rnacentral:rRNA from 1 species
AUUGAACGCUAGCGGGAUGCCUUACACAUGCAAGUCGAACGGAGUGGCGAACGGGUGAGUAAUGUAUCGGAACGUGCCCAGUAGCGGGGUAUAACUACGCGAAAGCGUAUCUAAUACCGCCUACUAUUGGAGCGGCCGAUAUCGGAUUAGGUAGUUGGUGGGGUAACGGCUCACCUAGUCGUCGAUCCGUAGCUGGGUUGAGAGGACGACCAGCCACACGGGGACGGAGACACGGCCCAGACUCCUACGUGAGUCAGCAGUUGGGAAUUUUGGACAAUGGGGGAAACCCUGAUCCAGCCAUCCCGCGUGUGCGAUGAAGGCCUUCGGGUUGUAAAGCACUUUUGGCAGGAAAGCGGUACCUGCAGAAUAAGCACCGGCUAACUAAGGGCCAGCAGCCGCGGUAAUUC